AGCAUGUGGGUGAGGACAAAACAUGUUGAAAAGUUUUAUGUUGGUUUGUGGGAUCAGUCGUUGAUCCUGGAAGCAGUUAGAGCUGAUUUUUGAGGUCUCAAAAAAGGCUACCUAUAAAGGGAUAAGCCAACACGAGACUUUUCAGCAUGCUUUGUCCUCACUCACACGCUC
rnacentral:pre_miRNA from 1 species